ACACGCAUGACACACUGCAUAUCAAUAAGCGGAGGAAAAGAAAUUCGCCCAACAGGCAGCAAAUUGUCCGAAGAAUAUACCAUAUUACAGAAACAUCUGUGCGGCUUCUUCGGUUCUAAAGUACAAUUGUCCUGUACCGCGAAAGGAAAAGGUAAAAUCAGCAUACCAUUCAACAAUGAAGAAGAUUUAGAACGUAUCAUGGAAAUCUUUGAUUCAUUGAAGCAAAAAGAAUAAUUAGUUUUGAAAAAGAUACGAUUUACAUGCAUAGCAUUAAUACUCUGUUUCCUGCUCCAGUUCGGAUUAGGAAACACUACACUUUAUGCUCAGAAUGCCCUGCAACGACGCAUGGGCGUUUCCAGAGAUUCCAUACAAUUGGCAGCCGCCAAGAAGGAUUCGCUCUUGACGGAUAGUCUGAACCGUAGAAACCAAUUGGAACUGAAACGAUUGGAGGCUCCUAUUGACACUGCCAUUCUUGCAACAAAAACAGAUUCCAUACAAAAAAAUAUUCCGCAACCAAAGAAACGUUUCAUUCCGGAUUCAAACCGCUCCGUAUGGCUUGCUUUGGUAUUUCCUGGCGGUGGACAAAUCUACAACCGGAAAUAUUGGAAACUUCCGAUUGUAUAUGGUGGUUUCGUCGGAUGUACCUACGCUUAGGAUGUUGAUCUACAGAGCGAGAGU
rnacentral:rRNA from 1 species